GGCCAGACUCCUACGGGAGGCAGCAGUGGGGAAUAUUGGGCAAUAGGCGAAAGCCUGACCCAGCAACGCCGCGUGAAGGAAGAAGGCUUUCGGGUUGUAAACUUCUUUUGACAGGGAAGAGCAGAAGACGGUACCUCUUGAAUAAGCCACGGCUAACUACGUGCCAGCAGCCGCGGUAAUACGUAGGUGGCAAGCGUUGUCCGGAUUUACUGGGUGUAAAGGGCGUGUAGCCGGGCUGACAAGUCAGAUGUGAAAUUCCGGGGCUCAACCCCGGACCUGCAUUUGAAACUGUUGGUCUUGAGUAUCGGAGAGGCAGGCGGAAUUCCUAGUGUAGCGGUGAAAUGCGUAGAUAUUAGGAGGAACACCAGUGGCGAAGGCGGCCUGCUGGGCUUUUACUGACGCUGAGGCUCGAAAGUGUGGGGAGCAAACAGGAUUAGAUACCCGUGUAU
rnacentral:rRNA from 1 species